GCCUGGGUGGCUAAAUUGGUUCAGCAUCUGACUUUGGCUCAGGUCAUGAUCUCACAGUUAGUGGGUUCGAGCCCCCCAUCAGGCU
rfam:Felis catus isolate Cinnamon breed Abyssinian chromosome A1, whole genome shotgun sequence.